GACGAACGCUGGCGGCGUGCUUAACACAUGCAAGUCGAACGGAAAGGCCCCUUUGGGGGUGCUCGAGUGGCGAACGGGUGAGUAACACGUGGGUGAUCUGCCCUGCACUUUGGGAUAAGCCCGGGAAACUGGGUCUAAUACCGGAUAGGACCGCAUGCUGCAUGGUGUGUGGUGGAAAGCGUUUAGUGGUGUGGGAUGGGCCCGCGGCCUAUCAGCUUGUUGGUGGGGUGAUGGCCUACCAAGGCGACGACGGGUAGCCGGCCUGAGAGGGUGUCCGGCCACACUGGGACUGAGAUACGGCCCAGACUCCUACGGGAGGCAGCAGUGGGGAAUAUUGCACAAUGGGCGCAAGCCUGAUGCAGCGACGCCGCGUGGGGGAUGACGGCCUUCGGGUUGUAAACCUCUUUCACCAUCGACGAAGCCGCAGGUGUUCUUGUGGUGACGGUAGGUGGAGAAGAAGCACCGGCCAACUACGUGCCAGCAGCCGCCGUAAAAC
rnacentral:rRNA from 1 species